rnacentral:rRNA from 1 species
AUUGAACGCUGGCGGCAUGCUUUACACAUGCAAGUCGAGCGGCAGCGCGGGGGGCAACCCUGGCGGCGAGCGGCGAACGGGUGAGGAAUACAUCGGAACGUACCCCCGGAGUGGGGGGAUAACGCCGCGAAAGCGGCGCUAAUACCGCAUAUGCUCUGAGGAGGAAAGUGGGGGGACCGCAAGGCCUCACGCUCUGGGAGCGGCCGAUGUCCGAUUAGCUAGUUGGUGGGGUAAAGGCCCACCAAGGCGACGAUCGGUAGCUGGUCUGAGAGGAUGAUCAGCCACACUGGGACUGAGACACGGCCCAGACUCCUACGGGAGGCAGCAGUGGGGAAUUUGGACAAUGGGGCAACCCUGAUCCAGCCAUGCCGCGUGCGGGAAGAAGGCUCGGUGU